GGCCUCCUUGAGCUGUGGUGGGCUCCACCCAGUUCGAGCUUCCUGGCUGCUUUGUUUACCUAAUCAAGCCUGGGCAAUGGCGGGCGCCCCUCCCCCAGCCUCGCUGCCGCCUUGCAGUUUGAUCUCAGACUGCUGUGCUAGCAAUCAGCGAGACUCCGUGGGCGUAGGACCCUCCGAGCCAGGUGCGGGAUAUAUUCUCGUGGUGCGCCGUUUUUUAAGCCCGUCGGAAAGGCGCAGUAUUUGGGUAGGAGUGACCCGAUUUUCCAGGUGCCGUCCGUCACCCCUUUCUUUGACUCAGAAAGGGAACUCCCUGACCCCUUGCGCUUCCCAAGUGAGGCAAUGCCUCGCCCUGCUUCGGCUCGCGCAUGGUGCUCGCUCCCACUGACCUGCGCCCACUGUCUGGCACUCCCUAGUGAGAUGAACCCGGUACCUCAGCUGGAAAUGCAGAAAUCACCCGUCUUCUGCGUCGCUCACGCUGGGAGCUGUAGACUGGAGCUGUAGACAGGAGCUGUUCCUAUUCGGGCAUCUUGGCUCCUCCUUGAAAACAAGCCCUGGAAAAACAAAGAAUGGAACACCCCUCCGCUGACUUCAACCAACUGCCUGCUGAUGCGGCCUGACUCCCAGCCCUUUUUGCAGUUUUGAAGUGACAAACUGACUAGGCUACAAAGUAUUCAACCAUGGGCUGGUUCUGGCUGGUUCACCGAGGCUGUGUACAAAGUGUCUUCAUGUCCUGUGUUUCACCUUUUAACAUACAGAACCUAAUUUUACUGCAUUUUAAUGUUAAUUCUCCACUCGAAGGUGAACAUGGGAUGUAUGUAACACAUAUGUUUGCUUAUCAAGCACACAUAUGACCCCCUUUCAUGAAUAUUCAUAGUUCCCCCUGUGACCUGUUGAAUAUGUCUGUUUAGCCAACCUGUUUGGCAUAAAACUCCUAUCCCACCCUAUCUCCCUCAAAGUACCUGUUUGUGGUCUCAGCUGGAGGUGCCACUUCCCAGCCUGCAGUUUGCAACCCUUCUCAAGAAAUAAAGUCUUCCUUUCCAAGUUUA
rnacentral:lncRNA from 1 species